AAGUACCCAUCUCAUUUACCGCCAAACAAAUCCCAAAACAAAACCCAACCCGUGGCCUUUUUCUGGUACUCCACAAAAGCCUGCAGAAAUUCAUCAAAAUAAAAAAAAAGAACAACAGACCGAGAACAGACGGCGGAGAAAAACAAAAACAGAAACGGGAAGAUGUCUUCAUCAUCAGCAGGCCGGGAAUGACCCAACUUGGCGAUGCCAACUGCUGGAGAGUCUGGACCAAAAAAAGAGCUGGAGAUGAAGAUGAAGGCUGCUGCUGAGGCUGAGGCCGAAGCUUCUUGCAGCCGCCACUGGGGCAUAUGUUUAAAAUAAACGCAUUUGUUUUAUUUAUGCUUAACAUGAGUUGCAAAUGCCAAAAGAAGAAGCAACCGGAGCUGGCACAAAAGGAAUCUGGCCAGCAGGCCAGGUGGGUCUUGCUUUUAAGGCGCUGGAAAUGAAUGAGAGUGCUCGCAAUUAAGUUGGUUUCUGAAGGAUUUCAGUAUUUUGGAACGACACUCGUAACAAAAAUUGCAGCGUCCGAAAUUGACUUGUAAAGAUCUCAAAACUAACGGGCCACACACACAGAAAGCGUCACAGGGGAGAUAGAGGUACAAAUAAAGAUACAGAUACAUUUGGA